AUGCGCUUGCUCCAGCUGGUGGUACAAUAUUCGGAGGCGGUAUCGCCUCUCUGAUCCUCUAGUUUCAAAGGAGAUUCUUCCUGGUUUGCAUGAGAAGGACAGCAUUUCUGCUAAUUUGAUUGUCAAUAUGAGAGUAUCGUAUUCCUUUUUAAAUCCUCAUUGCAAUUGUUUGUAACUACCUCAGGACUUUUUUUUUCAAAGUACAUUACCUGAGAACAGGUGAAGGAGUUGACAUAUUUUUCUUUUUAGCUAUGGAAUUUAAUCAAUAAUUUUUUAAGUAAAUUAAAAUACCUUUAACAGGAAUAUUUACUGGAGGUGUACAGUUAAGAAAAUCAUUUAGAUUAAUUCACAUUGGUAUUUAUUAUUGGAAGAGAGGUGGAAGAAGUCUAUAAUUUGAUUUCAUUGUUUGCAUUUCGACAUGCAAACUACAUUCAGAAUGAGGUACUGUGUAUUGUGUGAGUGUGAAGAGAUGUCUGUACAUAAAGACUCCUGUAUUGGGGGGAAUUUUACAUCAGAAUAACAGUGUUUAAAGAAAAAAUAUAACAGUGAAAAGGAUAUAUAAAUGCUUGGCUAAGUAAAUUUGAUAUUAUUUAGAAAGAAAAUAUCUUCCCAUCCUCGAGUCCUGAACUAUGCAUUUAAUAUUUAAAGCUCAUAUUCUUUACAAAACAAUACAGGUCCUUCUCUGUGUAAGAUAAGUGAGGACAUGGACUUUGUAGACAGCGAGCCAGGCGAUUGUAAGAGAUCCUAUUUGUUAUUGUAUUCAACUCGAUAUAAUGACGGCAUAUUUUAGAUGUACACAAUAAAUAUAUAAUGUAUGGUAAUGAUGUGUUCUUCAGUGUGUGUUCACUUGAAACUUGCCUCUAGGUUUGUCAGAACAUGGUGUCAAUGCAAAUGAAAAGAAUAAAUAAAACAGGCUACAUUGAACUAGCAUUAGCCAUUUUACCAAGGGCUUAACUUUUAUAUUUGAAAAAUCAAGAAAUAUUUUUCAUAAAAGGACUGUUAUCUUGUUUUGCUACUACAUUAAACAAGAUGCAUUUUCCACCAUGUGGCAAGUGUAGCUCAACUCAAGAUUUUGCUCUGAUUUCUGAUCAUUUGCUUGUCUGAAUGAUACCUGGGCCCCGUAACUCGAAAGCAUUGUGCGUUGCGACCAAGCGCAAAGCAUCUCGAUUCCGUAACUCGCCCAUACUCAUCCCAUAUAAUACAUUGUAGUCUCUAUUUGAUAUCGCUAUUUGCAACAUGCGAUGCUUUCGAGUUACGGGCCCAGUUCUGGCUUUGAUCACUCACUAGGGCAGAAUGUGCAGAAUUAGAAAAAAUAAUGAAGUCACAGAGGAUAGUCAAGUUGUUUUUUUAAUAAAAAUUGAGCUUGACAGAAUUUCCAAUUACAAAAUAAGCAAAGAUGUUCACCAAAAAUGAAUAGUAAUUACUCAAUCUUUUCAAUAUUAUCUGGAAAUAUUAUCAGACUUCAGAUGCAUAAAUUAUAAUCACAAAAAUUGCACUUAAAUAUAUCAUUUGUGAUGCUUUUACUGCAUUGAAUAGAACUAUAGAUUAGCCUUCUUUUCAAUUUUGUUGCUGCCAUGUAAUUUUAAGAAAUAAUUACUUUAAAAUACAGUAUCUGUAAAAUUUACAAUUUCUCCCCUUGAAAAGAUUGAGCAAUUACAAUAAGUGUGGCUUUAUAACUAUAUGCUGGCAUAUACAUCUAAUAGUUCUAUAAUUAAAAUAUUCAAUAAUCAAUGUUUAUGAUAUGCAUAUCUUAAAGCUUCAAAUUUAUUUCCUAGCUGUAAUGGAUGAAAUGUCUUGAUGGGUGUCAUUCCAUGAUAUUUUUUCCUCUGUAAUAUGUUUCAUCUCCCUACAAACUUUUUGGUCAUUGCUAUUUCUGCUGAUGCUGUCCAAUUGGCUAAAAAUGGAGUUUGCUCUCUUAUGUUGUUGAUGCAUUUCAUGGGAUGUGAAAAGGUAAAACCAUUUUAUGGAGGGGAAAUUUUGUUUUUGGUGGAAAAAAUGUGAAGUGGCUCAUAAGUUGUUUUAUUGGAAUAGCUAAUUUUUUUCCUUUCUUCUAGUAAAAACGAUGUGUGUGUGUGUGUUUAAAUUUAUUUUUUGGUAAUUUGACAAUUUACAAAUAUAAUAUACUUUUUAUCAUUCAAAAUUUUCUCUUCCUUUUAGUGAAGAUGUCUGGAGUUCUGGACUUGAACAAGGAAGUGAAAAGAAACAGCUGAUGUUUUCUCCGCCACUCUUCGGUCUGUUCCUGUAUGCGAGUGGCAUUGAAGGCUGUGAUUCAUGAGAGCUACGUUCCACCCACUGGUAAGACAAAAGCCUGGUGUGCUUCCAUCGGUGAUGGAUGGUCGUACCUGAGGUGAUCACAUAGCAGACCCUGUAAAAAAACCUCUCAGAUGUCAAAAACCCAGCAAGCUACAAAGAGAAAAUAGAUGGACCAAGAAGAGUUAUCUAUCUUUCUGCCUCAUUAUGUCUUUGAAUAGGGUGUGAGUAGUCAAGGGGGAGCCCGUGAACUGAUGAGCUCAUCACUUAAGCCACGCUGAGUCAAAAAUUAUAUCAACUAGAGUUCAUCCUGUUUGUCCUGCCAUCUCCCUUUGAUCUAAUAAUGUGCAAUAAAUCAACAUCAAGCCAAAUCUAAUAUUUCUUUUUAAUUCGAGCAAUGCUGUGUUUGUCGCUAUAGGGGCCUAACGACCCCUGCCGACUGGAUCUCAUCAGGAGCCGUUCUGUGCAAGAGUUCUGCUGUAUGGGAUGAUAGAUGAGCCAGUACUUACCCAGUUACAUUAUAGACCAGAUGAUGUAUAGAGCCAUUAGUUGGUGGACUAUGCACAUACAUCUUCCUACAGCUGUGCAAAGCUUUAGAUCCAUGCAGAUACAGGCAGAAGGCUUGUAAUGGAUACAGCCGGCAUUGUCAGGAACCAGAGGUCACUUUAUAUGGAGGGUGAAAUGGAGUGCAGUUCAUUAUUUUUUUGUUUCACGCCAUCGUCACUUUCUUUAACUUAUAUUUAUGUAUUUAUUAGCAUUGUUAAUAUUACAACAAAUUUACUUGAAAGUGCCUUAAAUCUGUAGAUACAGAAUGUGAGAGGAAAUUUAUAUGGAGAUUAAAGCAAAAUACAUUUAAUUAUUUUUUCAUCACUUCCCUGAGCUUGAGUAUUUAAUAUAUAUUAUUAUCAUUAUUAUUAUUUUAAGAAACAUUUAAAUAAAAGAAAAAUUUACUUUAAAAUGCCUCAAAUUUGUAAACUUAACAUAUUAGAAGAAACUUUUGAUUAUUUGUAUAUUGCUUCCUCAAGUAACAUUUAAUAAAGUACAUUUCAAUAUUGAAUAUUUCCUGCAUUAGUUUACAUCAGAAUAACUGACAUAAUUGUUUAUAUGUGCAUCUGUUGUGAGGCUGACAAAGCACCCACAUAUUUAGUUAGCUGUACUUUAUUCUGAACAUAUGCAGAAGUAAAGGGGAGGUAUUUGCCAGCAAGCUGCACACACUGAUGGCCAGAGACAGGUGUCAUGGCAACAUGGUGAAAUUAUGUGAUGAAUAGAAAAUCUGAAAGAAACAUGUUAGCCAACUCUAAUAUGAAUCAUGAAUACAGUUCUUGGGUUAAAAAACUUUCAGCAUUAGUGUUUAUCUUAUAAAUGAUAAGUUUUAUUAUUAUGCAGCAUUUAGCAAAAAAAUAUCUUGAUUCUGAUAAGUUACUGAAAGCUGCCAAUAACAAUA
rnacentral:lncRNA from 1 species